AAAGCAAGGCUGAUCUGUUUUUCUAAGAUCUUUCUAUGGAAUGCCUUAUGGUUGAAUGGACAAACAUUUUCACUUCAUUGAAGACAAGGACAGUGAGACCAGUGUAAUACUCUGUGUAGGUACAUGGGAACAGUCUUAUUUCUAUGGGACUCAAAAAAGUGUGCCCACUAUCAAUUUAGAAACUUACAUUUUCAAAGUAUUAGUUACUGUAAUCUCAAAAGGACAAACUGCUUGUAAAUUACACUGAUUUUCAAUAACAGAAAUAUUCAAAAUAUAUACAGAGCUGUGCACAUUCCAAGCAUUUAUAAUUCUCUCUCAUUCCUCUGAAACAAAUAAGUAAAUGUUAUUUAUUCUCUUGUAUAGAGGGCGAAAGGGAAAGCAAUUUAAGUGCCACUAAUAUGAUGAGCAAGUUUCAGAGUCAGCAUUAAAACUCAGAGAUGACUUUAGAAGUCAAGACUUUCAACUUUAUGAUCUUUCCUCUGCAACAACUUAAAUAAAUACAUAUAUUUCUAAGUAGCAACCUGCUCAUUUGCCUUCUACGUUAAGACUGAGGUGUAUAGGAUUGACUGUCCUAUUGUCUAGGACAGUCUAGGAUAGUCUAGAAGUCUAACUUCUGUGGGACUAGAAGAGUGACAGUUUCUAGGAGAGCGUGUCCUACCCUGUGAGCUGCAAGCACAUGAUAUCCUGAGCAAGUCAUUGCAGGUUUUAUCUAGAAACAAAGUACUGUGUGCUGAAAGUGGUACAAACUGCAGCAGCUAGUUUAGCUUUCUAAGUAGACCGUAUGACAUUGGGCUCUAUUCUGGCAUCAACAAUCAUGGACUAUGUUGUCCUGGUAUUGAUGUGUGUAGCUGUCUGCGUAAUUCCUUCUAGAAAUUAACUAGGAGACUUUUAACCAUGACAACGAUCAUUACUUUCUGCUGACAGAAAAAAAAAUAAAAAAUUGUUUGAUCAAUAGAAAUUACUUACGAUGACUGCAGGAGGGAGAAUUUCCGGGGGAGUGGGAUCUGAGCUAUGGGACUUUUUCUCCCAAAAAGUAAGAGUAAGCAAUGACCUCAAUGAUUUCACAACUAAAUUCAAACUCUUCUCUGCAAUUUAACUUUCCUUUGGGGACUAUGCUCAUAAAUGAACCCAUACACACCCAGAACAUCAUUACAAUCAAGUUAAACAUUCCAUUCUACUCACCAAAGAGGAAGGGAGAUAUUACCACAAAAUUUUUUUUAAUUCCUUGGUGGCAUUCACAUUCUACAGUGGUGGGCAAUGAAUUUAGACUGGUGGACUAAACAAGUAGCUUGAGAGCAAAAAAUCCCUACAGAACUCUUGGCUGAAUUAAUGUGGAGAAAUUGGCUGAGAAAAGGGAAAUAUUCCUCACUAUACAAGACAGACGCUGUGCUAGCAUGUGAUUCGAGAAAACAGAAUGAAGGAGGACCCCAGCCCAAGCACUGCUGACAAUUACAGAGAGAUGGGAAGCAAUGAAGAAGUAUUCCUAGCCAAGGGUUUGAUUGUAUCUCUAGGAGGGCAGUCACAGUUUCUCCACCAGAAAGGGUGUUUGCAGUUAUGGGACCUUUCUUUCAGAGGAUGUUCCAAAAGAUACAGCAGCAGAAGGGGUGUUUACCAGACCAUCAAGAGCGUUUUGGUGCCAGGAGCUGAGCUACUUGGUUACAGCACUAAGGCCAGAACAGGAGACAGAGACGAACAUGUUCUGCAGACUAGCCUACAGUAGCUGAAGAGCCAUGCUCACUUAAAGCACUGUUUUGAAGGCCUUCAGUGAACAUCCACUAAUAAAGGUUGGUGCCCUUGCCAUGUUGGUUUCUACUUUGUAUUUACUCUAACAUCCCUUUCUUUCCUACCAAAGGAAACGUAAGCUGGCAGUUACCUUUCCAUGAGCUUUAUUUCAGCAAAGCUCUAACGGGCACAAUGCCACGAUGAUGGUAUAGAAGCAGCAAUGUUAUUGGCUCACCUACCCCUUUGCGUGAAAGCACAGCAGUACAGGAGUUGCCAUACCAGAGCAGAUUAUCAAUUCAUCUAAUCUCUGGCAUGAACAAACACUUCAUUCAACAGAGGUAGGCAGUUCCCCUCCCUUCCAUCCUCAUACCAGUCUAA